GGGUUGUGAGGUUAAGCGACUAAGCGUACACGGUGGAUGCCCUGGCAGUCAGAGGCGAUGAAGGACGUGCUAAUCUGCGAUAAGCGUCGGUGAGGUGAUAUGAACCGUUAUAACCGGCGAUUUCCGAAUGGGGAAACCCAGUGUGUUUCGACACACUAUCAUUAACUGAAUCCAUAGGUUAAUGAGGCGAACCGGGGGAACUGAAACAUCUAAGUACCCCGAGGAAAAGAAAUCAACCGAGAUUCCCCCAGUAGCGGCGAGCGAACGGGGAGGAGCCCAGAGCCUGAAUCAGUGUGUGUGUUAGUGGAAGCGUCUGGAAAGGCGUGCGAUACAGGGUGACAGCCCCGUACACAAAAAUGCACAUAUUGUGAGCUCGAUGAGUAGGGCGGGACACGUGGUAUCCUGUCUGAAUAUGGGGGGACCAUCCUCCAAGGCUAAAUACUCCUGACUGACCGAUAGUGAACCAGUACCGUGAGGGAAAGGCGAAAAGAACCCCGGCGAGGGGAGUGAAAAAGAACCUGAAACCGUGUACGUACAAGCAGUGGGAGCCUCUUAAUGGGGUGACUGCGUACCUUUUGUAUAAUGGGUCAGCGACUUAUAUUCUGUAGCAAGGUUAACCGAAUAGGGGAGCCGAAGGGAAACCGAGUCUUAACUGGGCGUUAAGUUGCAGGGUAUAGACCCGAAACCCGGUGAUCUAGCCAUGGGCAGGUUGAAGGUUGGGUAACACUAACUGGAGGACCGAACCGACUAAUGUUGAAAAAUUAGCGGAUGACUUGUGGCUGGGGGUGAAAGGCCAAUCAAACCGGGAGAUAGCUGGUUCUCCCCGAAAGCUAUUUAGGUAGCGCCUCGUGAAUUCAUCUCCGGGGGUAGAGCACUGUUUCGGCAAGGGGGUCAUCCCGACUUACCAACCCGAUGCAAACUGCGAAUACCGGAGAAUGUUAUCACGGGAGACACACGGCGGGUGCUAACGUCCGUCGUGAAGAGGGAAACAACCCAGACCGCCAGCUAAGGUCCCAAAGUCAUGGUUAAGUGGGAAACGAUGUGGGAAGGCCCAGACAGCCAGGAUGUUGGCUUAGAAGCAGCCAUCAUUUAAAGAAAGCGUAAUAGCUCACUGGUCGAGUCGGCCUGCGCGGAAGAUGUAACGGGGCUAAACCAUGCACCGAAGCUGCGGCAGCGACACUAUGUGUUGUUGGGUAGGGGAGCGUUCUGUAAGCCUGUGAAGGUGGCCUGUGAGGGUUGCUGGAGGUAUCAGAAGUGCGAAUGCUGACAUAAGUAACGAUAAAGCGGGUGAAAAGCCCGCUCGCCGGAAGACCAAGGGUUCCUGUCCAACGUUAAUCGGGGCAGGGUGAGUCGACCCCUAAGGCGAGGCCGAAAGGCGUAGUCGAUGGGAAACAGGUUAAUAUUCCUGUACUUGGUGUUACUGCGAAGGGGGGACGGAGAAGGCUAUGUUGGCCGGGCGACGGUUGUCCCGGUUUAAGCGUGUAGGCUGGUUUUCCAGGCAAAUCCGGAAAACC
rnacentral:rRNA from 1 species